ensembl:snRNA U2 U2 spliceosomal RNA
AUCACUUCUUGGCCUUCUGGCUAAGAUCAAGUGUAGUAUCUGUUCUUAUCUUAAGUUUAACAAAUGGUGUUGAGACUAUAUUAUAGUCAUAUAAGAUAUAACAAUUGGUGGAAACUUGUGAAGAAUACAAUUGCUAAUUCCUG